UGGGUAGUUUGACUGGGGCGGUCGCCUCCUAAAGAGUAACGGAGGCUCCCAAAGGUACCCUCAGCACGGUCGGCAAUCGUGCGUAGAGUGUAAAAGCAUAAGGGUGCUUGACUGCGAGACAUACAGGUCGAGCAGGCACGAAAGUGGGGUUUAGUGAUCCGGUGGCACCGCAUGGAAGGGCCAUCGCUCAAAGGAUAAAAGGUACUCCGGGGAUAA
rnacentral:rRNA from 1 species